rnacentral:misc_RNA from 1 species
UGGUGUCAGGUACCAACGUGUAUGGC